GACAGAGGGUGCAAACGUUGUUCGGAAUUACUGGGCGUAAAGCGUGUGUAGGCGGCUACAUAAGUCGGAUGUGAAAGCCCCGGGCUCAACCCGGGAAGUGCACUCGAUACUGCGUAGCUUGAGUCUCGGAGAGGUUGGUGGAAUUCUCGGUGUAGAGGUGAAAUGCGUAGAUAUACGGAGGAACACCAGCGGCGAAGGCGGGUAGCUGGGCCAACACUGACGCUGAUGUGCGAAAGCGUGGGGAGCAAACAGG
rnacentral:rRNA from 1 species